rnacentral:rRNA from 1 species
CAGCCGCCGCGGGAAUACGAAGGGUGCAAGCGUUAAUCGGAAUUACUGGGCGUAAAGCGUGCGUAGGCGGUUUGUUAAGUCUGUUGUGAAAUCCUCGGGCUCAACCUGGGAAUGGCAAUGGAUACUGGCAAGCUAGAGUGUGUCAGAGGAUGGUGGAAUUCCCGGUGUAGCGGUGAAAUGCGUAGAGAUCGGGAGGAACAUCAGUGGCGAAGGCGACUAUCUGGGCCAACACUGACACUGAGGCACGAAAGCGUGGGAAGCAAACAGGAUUAGAUACCCCGGUAGUCCCUGUCUCUUAUAC